AGGGGUAUAGUGUUAGCGGAUAGCACGGCGGUCUCCAAAACCGCAAGGCCGGGUUCGAAUCCUGGUACCCCUGCCA
rnacentral:tRNA from 1 species